GACGAACCGUGCGAACGUUGUUCGGAAUCACUGGGCUUAAAGGGCGCGUAGGCGGGCCGCCGCGUCCGGGGUGAAAUCCUCCCGCUCAACGGGAGAACGGCCUCGGAUACGGGCGGCCUGGAGGCGGGUAGGGGCACGCGGAACUGUGGGUGGAGCGGUGAAAUGCGUUGAGAUCCACAGGAACUCCGGUGGCGAAGGCAGCUCGCUGGGACGGUACUGACGCUAAGGCGCGAAAGCGUGGGGAGCGAACAGG
rnacentral:rRNA from 1 species